rnacentral:tRNA from 1 species
UAAAAGAUAAGCUAAUUUAAAGCUUAUGGGUUCAUACCUCAUUUAUGAGUAAUUUCUCUUUUAA